GGUAGUAAGAGCCGAUGAAGGACGUGGUAAGCUGCGAUAAGCCUAGAUAAGUUGCAAUCGAACGUAAGAGUCUAGGAUUUCCGAAUGGAGCAAUCUAUUAAGAUGGAGUCUUAAUACGAAAGAGGGAACCGCGUGAACUGAAACAUCUAAGUAACGCGAGGAAAAGAAAGUAAAAACGAUACCCAAAGUAGCGGCGAGCGAAAUGGGUCAAGCCUAAACCUUAAAUAUGUCAAGGAUACAGCCGUUGUAUUUAAGGGGUUGAGGGACAGAGUGAUGAAGAACUGUAAGAUAUUCAAUAUAGUGUAUUGAUGAAUUAGAAUUGUCUGGAAAGGUGAACCGCAGAAGGUGAAAGUCCUGUAUAAGUAAAUCCUUACACAUAUAACUUUGCUCCCAAGUAACAUGGAACACGAGGAAUUCUGUGUGAAUCAGUGAGGACCAUAUCUCAUAAGGCUAAAUACUCUUACUAACCGAUAGCGCAUAGUACCGUGAGGGAAAGGUGAAAAGAACCCCUGGAGGGGAGUGAAAUAGAACCUGAAAUUGUGUGCUUACAAGCGGUCAGAGCCCAUUUGGGUGAUGGCGUGCCUUUUGGAGAAUGAUCCUGCGAGUUACGUUAAACGGCGAGGUUAAGUAUAACGGAGCCGAAGGGAAACCAAGUCUUAAUAGGGCGAUUUAGUCGUUUGGCGUAGACGCGAAACCUGGUGAUCUAAACCUGUCCAGGAUGAAGCUGUGGUAAGACACAGUGGAGGUCCUAACCCACCGCCGUUGAAAAGUUGGGGGAUGAGGUAGGUUUAGGGGUGAAAAGCCAAUCGAACCAGGAGAUAGCUCGUUCUCUCCGAAAUGCAUCUAGGUGCAGCCUUGAGUGUUCAAUUAUGGGGGUAGAGCACUGAAUGAUCUAGGGGGCAUAUUGCUUACUGAAAUCAAUCAAACUCCGAAUACCAUAAUUUAUAGCUCAGGAGUGAGACUAUGGGAGUUAACUUCCAUUGUCAAAAGGGAAACAACCCAGACCACCAGCUAAGGUCCCUAAUUAUAACUAAGUGGGAAAGGAGGUGGAGAUUCACAAACAACUAGGAGGUUGGCUUAGAAGCAGCCAUACCUUUAAAGAGUGCGUAAUAGCUCACUAGUCGAGAGUCUCUGCGCCGACAAUGUAACGGGGCUAAGUUAUAAACCGAAGCUGUGGAAUCCUUUUGGAUUGGUAGGAGAGCGUUCUGUAGGCCGUUGAAGAAGAAGGGUAACCAACUUUGGAGGUAUCAGAAGUGAGAAUGCAGGAAUAAGUAGCGAGAAAGGGGGCGAGAAUCCCCCUCGCCGGAAGACCAAGGUUUUCAGGGUAAAGCUUGUCUUCCCUGAGUAAGCCGGGACCUAAGCCCAGGCUAUAAUGCGUAGGCGAAUGGAAAACAGAUUAAUAUUUCUGUGCCAGUCAUUUAUUGUGAUGGAGGGACGCAGAAGGGUAUGCGCGCGGACGAACGGAAGUGUCCGUAGAAGUAUGUAGGGUGACUUAGUAGGUAAAUCCAUUAAGUUAUAUCUGAGGUAUGAUAUACAGUCGUAAGAUGAAUGCGCAAAUCCCACGCUGCCAAGAAAAGCUUCUAACGUUAAUAUAUGACUGCCCGUACUGUAAACCGACACAGGUGGUCAGGAUGAGAAAUCUAAGGCGGACAGGCUAACUCUCGUUAAGGAACUCUGCAAAAUAACCUCGUAACUUCGGGAGAAGAGGAGCCCUUGGGUGUUAGUAUCCAUGCGAUACAAAGCGCUCGAGGGUCGCAGUGAAGAGGCUCAAGCAACUGUUUAACAAAAACACAGGUCUAUGCUAAGCUGGAAGGCGAUGUAUAUGGGCUGACACCUGCCCAGUGCUGGAAGGUUAAGAGGAGGAGUGAGAGCUCCGAAUUGAAGCCCCAGUGAACGGCGGCCGUAACUAUAACGGUCCUAAGGUAGCGAAAUUCCUUGUCGGGUAAG
rnacentral:rRNA from 1 species